UAUGGCCGGUGCAGGAGUGCGCGCCGCCAACCUGCCGCUAUUUUUACAGGCGGGGGUAAAAGAGGUGCAUACCUCGGCAGGCCAGUGGUUACCGUCCCCGAUGCGCUUUCGCAAUCCCGGAUUGUCGAUGUCUACGGAUGCCGAAGCAGAUGAAUACUUACGCUACGCCGUCAAUGGCGAAGCGGUAGCGGAAAUGAAGAAGAUAAUUACCGCGUAGAGAGAGUAAACCGUUUUUUGCUGCACAUCAUGUCGCCCAAUAUGAUGAUUGCCCGUACCAGGCCCCUGCCCAUUAAACAGGGGCCUUUUUU
rnacentral:ncRNA from 1 species